UACAGAGGUGCCGAGCGUUAUGCGGAAUCACUGGGCUUAAAGCGUGUGUAGGCGGACGUCUAAGUACCUUGUGAAAUCCCACGGCUCACCCGUGGAACUGCUGGGUAUACUGGGCGUCUUGAGCCACCUAGGGGCCAGCGGAACAAAUGGUGGAGCGGUGAAAUGCGUAGAUAUCAUUUGGAACGCCAACGGUGAAAACAGCUGGCUGGGGGUGUGCUGACGCUGAGACACGAAAGCCAGGGGAGCAAACGGG
rnacentral:rRNA from 1 species